rnacentral:RNase_P_RNA from 1 species
GUUAGCCGAACGGUCGCAUCGCAAGAUGAGGAAAGUCCGAGCACCACAGGGCAAGAGUGGCAGGUAACGCCUGCUGAAGGCGACUUCAAGGAUAGUGCAACAGAAAUAAACCGCAGCGCAAGCUGUAAGGGUGGAAAGGUGCGGUAAGAGCGCACCGGCAGUUCGGAGACGAAAUUGGCCGUGUAAACCCCACUCGGUGCAAGAGAAAAGAGCAUAAGGGUUGCCCGCCCGCUCCGCAAUCGCUUGAACCCGAGGGCGACCUCGGGUCUAGACAGAUGACCGUUUAAGACAGAACUCGGCUUACAGACUAACUCA